CGUGGAUAACCUGCCUCAUACAGGGGGAUAACAGUUAGAAAUGACUGCUAAUACCGCAUAAGCGCACAGAGAUGCAUGUCUCGGUGUGAAAAGCUGAGGCGGUAUGAGAUGGAUCCGCGUCUGAUUAGCUGGUUGGCGGGGUAGAGGCCCGCCAAGGCGACGAUCAGUAGCCGACCUGAGAGGGUGGCCGGCCACAUUGGGACUGAGACACGGCCCAAACUCCUACGGAAGGCAGCAG
rnacentral:rRNA from 1 species